GUUUCCGUAGGUGAACCUGCGGAAGGAUCAUUAUUGUAUAACCGAGGUGCGAGGGCCGUCGCUGACCCGAAAGGUCGUGCACGCCCGAGUGCCCUCACACACAUCCAUCUCACCCCUAUGUGCACCACCGCGUGGGUCCCCCUUUGGCUUGUUCGGAGGGGGGCUUACGUUUUCACACAAACUUUGUAUGCAGUGUAGAAUGUAUUUUUUGUUUUUGCGAUCACGCAAUCAAUACAACUUUCAACAACGGAUCUCUUGGCUCUC
rnacentral:misc_RNA from 1 species